UAUUAGAAAUUCUAAUUUCACAAUGCAGCACUGACAAUAAGCUCAGCCAGUGAAUUAUUCACAUCUUUAAUUUGCUCUCUUAAUGACAGUGUUCUGUAAUCAGAGUGCAGCGACUGCUUCCUAUGCAUUAUGUAUGAUGUUCAGGACUUAAAUGCAGGACAUUAUGAAGCCUCUCAGUGGCUCAGUAAUUAGUUUUCCACAAGACAGGGCUUAGAUAUUCACAGAUAAAAGUCUACAGCUGAGAUAAUGUUAAGGUGGUGACUCAUGCUAACAAAAGCAGGGAAGUUCAAAUUUAAUGCCGAAACUGCUCUCCACUCUCCCUCAUUGGGAGGGGGAGGGGAAGAAAGUCUCCCAAAGUAGCCCGCCGGGAGCAAUGAACAUAUGGCUGUUACUAUCAGCACUGGUGUAUUUGCGGCGAUACCUAUCAACAUCCACCAGAGAGCAGGGCAGCUCCAAAACCCACAUCUUUUAUGCUGUGGAAAUUGAUGGAGACAGCAACACAGCCAGCUUCUUGGCCAAACAACAUGGAAUGCAGUUCAUUUCAAAGGUACUGGUCUCUUAG
rnacentral:lncRNA from 1 species